rnacentral:rRNA from 1 species
UACGAAGGGGGCUAGCGUUAAUCGGAAUUACUGGGCGUAGAGCGUGCGCAGGCGGUUUUGUAAGUCAGAUGUGAAAUCCCCGAGCUCGACUUGGGAACUGCGUUCGAAACUACAAGACUAGAAUAUGUCAGAGGGGGGUAGAAUUCCACGUGUAGCAGUGAAAUGCGUAGAGAUGUGGAGGAAUACCAAUGGCGAAGGCAGCCCCCUGGGAUAAUAUUGACGCUCAUGCACGAAAGCGUGGGGAGCAAACAGG